GUGGGGAAUUUUGGACAAUGGGCGCAAGCCUGAUCCAGCCAUGCCGCGUGCAGGAUGAAGGCCUUCGGGUUGUAAACUGCUUUUGUACGGAACGAAAAGACUCUUUCUAAUAAAGAGGGUCCAUGACGGUACCGUAAGAAUAAGCACCGGCUAACUACGUGCCAGCAGCCGCGGUAAUACGUAGGGUGCGAGCGUUAAUCGGAAUUACUGGGCGUAAAGCGUGCGCAGGCGGUGAUGUAAGACAGAUGUGAAAUCCCCGGGCUCAACCUGGGAACUGCAUUUGUGACUGCAUCGCUGGAGUGCGGCAGAGGGGGAUGGAAUUCCGCGUGUAGCAGUGAAAUGCGUAGAUAUGCGGAGGAACACCGAUGGCGAAGGCAAUCCCCUGGGCCUGCACUGACGCUCAUGCACGAAAGCGUGGGGAGCAAACAGGAUUAGAUACCCGUGUAGUCC
rnacentral:rRNA from 1 species